GGCUAACGUUGAUUAUGGUUGAUUUGUUUCUAAAAAUGGUGAUUUUGAAAGUUAUAACCAAACAAACAUGAGGAAAGAGCAAAGCCGUCUCCUAAACACUGACAUGCACAAGGUUCCAAAAAGAGUGAGAAAUUUCUUUGAUGUUUCCCUAUUACAAUGUCACAUUUAUCAAGUUUCGUUUCUACUCACCAUUGGCUGCAUUUUGGUUAGGUAAUGAUUUCACCAUGUCUCAUUCAGUAGCUUUAGUAAUAUAUUUCUGUAUCUGUUCCCCAUUCCAACCGGAUUUCACUGUGGAUUCAACAUUACAUUAUUUGUGUGGCAGGCAGGCAUGCCAGUUCUCGGACCAUGAUUGUUGGGUAAUACAACUGCUGGCUGCCAC
rnacentral:lncRNA from 1 species